AGUGAACGCUGGCGGUAGGCCUAACACAUGCAAGUCGAACGGCAGCACAGUAAGAGCUUGCUCUUACGGGUGGCGAGUGGCGGACGGGUGAGGAAUACAUCGGAAUCUACCUUUUCGUGGGGGAUAACGUAGGGAAACUUACGCUAAUACCGCAUACGACCUACGGGUGAAAGCAGGGGAUCUUCGGACCUUGCGCGAUUGAAUGAGCCGAUGUCGGAUUAGCUAGUUGGCGGGGUAAAGGCCCACCAAGGCGACGAUCCGUAGCUGGUCUGAGAGGAUGAUCAGCCACACUGGAACUGAGACACGGUCCAGACUCCUACGGGAGGCAGCAGUGGGGAAUAUUGGACAAUGGGCGCAAGCCUGGUCCGGCCAUACCGCGUGGGUGAAGAAGGCCUUCGGGUUGUAAAGCCCUUUUGUUGGGAAAGAAAAGCAGCAGGUUAAUACCCCGCUGUUCUGACGGUACCCAAAGAAUAAGCACCGGCUAACUUCGUG
rnacentral:rRNA from 1 species